UGCAACAGACAAGCACCAGCUGGAUGAAAAGACCGGCUCACUCAUCAUUCGGUCCCUCACUGCUAAUGACAGCGGACUUUAUGAGAGGCAGCUCUUCAAAGGGACCGAGCUGAUCAAGAAAUUUAACGUGACUGUUGUGGAACCGUCCAGUUAUUCUUCAACACCGACACAAACGUCAGCUGAUCACAGCACCGCUGGUCAAAAACCAACUACCCCUCCAAAGAACGGGAUACCCUGGAUACCCUGGGUCGUUGGUGUUGCUGUUGCUGUGCUGAGUGGGUUCGCCGUUCUUCUCGGUGUUGUGUGGAGAUAUCGUGAGCCAAUCAAAGCUCAGUGUGAGCGUAAAAAAUGGUUUCGGGUUUGGUACGCGCCGUGUGAUCGAGAAGAUCCUGGAAGAUCCUCCAGACAGGAGACUGUAACACAGGAUACAGCUGUGCAGGAUACAGCUGUGUAACAGACCUCCCACAGACGUCCAGCGUUACAAAGGUGUAAUGCUGCAGACCUGACAGCGAGCUCUAAACAUGACCUUUGUCUUUAGUAUCUGUAUCUUUAAGAUCCAAAGAGCAGCUGCUACACUGUGAACCUGUAACAUCCAUGGAGAGAGUCGUAGGUUUUUAAAGAUCAGACACAUAAUGAAGCCUUAAAGUCUGGCUCAUGUAUCUCAGUGGACCUGCUCUUUCUGACCUGCAGUGCUGCUUUUACAUUUUCUUCAUCAGGUGCUGAAUACAUGUUACACUGAUUCUGGAUGUCAGUCUCUGACACCAAAGAUCCACAAGAAAGAGACAUUUGUGUGUAUUAGAUCAUCUUAAAUGUUUAAACUUUAUAAUAUAUCAUAUUAUUUAAUUCGUUUAGUCUGUUACUGUUGUUGUAUUGGAGCGACUGUAACCACAUAAUUUCCUUAUGAAUCAUUAAAGUGCUCCGAUUCUGAAGAGACCAAAGGUCACCUGAGGUCACUGACGCUGACUUGAACUCGCGGCUGUCACGUUUCUGUAUGAGCUGCUUUAAGCUGCUGGAUGAACUCCACCCGUGUAAAGAUGGAUGCUGUAGUAACAGGAGGGUUUAGAUCUGCUGCCUACCCAGACAAAAACAUGAGAGCGCACAACACAUGGACUUCCUGUUGCAGAGCUGCUGCGGUGCUCACUGUAUGGCUAACCUGUACUGUUGACUGAACGACGUCUUUCCAAACAAACCAAAACUGAUUUUGAGGAAACUUGAAGAGCUCUGAGACACCCGGCUCUUACUGCUGUAAUAAUAUAGCAAUAAAAGACAUUUCCAAAGA